rnacentral:lncRNA from 1 species
CUUUUUUCUUUUCUGGCAGAGAGAAUGUCUAUAGAUAGCCCCUCGCAACCAUGCCCCUUACCCGUCCUUGGGAGACAAACAGCAUUGGUUUGAUCCCUGUCUUAGGUUGGUGACAUGCCCAGGGAGUCUUAUCACUGACUACCUCUCUAUCAUGCCAAGCCACACCUGGGGAGAUUGUGUUUUGCUUGCGGCAGGUGCAUCAAAAGGCCAGGAUGUUAAUUAACCUAUGGCCAGAUCUUAAUUGCUGCAAGCAAGCCUCAUGGGUGAAGGUAGAGGUCUGAUCCCCAGGGGGGAUGGACACAAUACCUCGUGGUGAUGAGACCAUAACCUCAAUCACCUGUGUGUCCAUCUGGGGAGUCAAUAUGAGAGUCAAGUUUUCAUUAGCUUCCCCCCUGUUGGGCAAUGAUUUCUGUGCCCUUAUGGCAAUCUGAUUCACCUGCUUAAACACCUGCACUGGAUAUCCUGUCUGUUGUUGUGCAAAUCGACCUUGAUCAAGCAGCAUAUCUCUAUCCCAUGCAAAUUCAGCUUGAUCAGUGAAAAUAGGACAUCCCAGCAAGGAGAAUCUAUCCUCUUUCCAGACCUCCGGACAGAAGGUCUGCCCAUAGAUGGCUGACAAGGAGGCAUAGGGAGGGGGAGCAAAAGCUAAUUCGCCUUCCUCCUCCGCCUCAGCUCUUUUAUUUUGUCCUUUCUGUUCACCUGAUAACACUGUGUCUCCUUUCUUUUUCCUUUUUCUUUUUAAGC